UGGGGAAUUUUGGACAAUGGGCGAAAGCCUGAUCCAGCAAUGCCGCGUGUGUGAAGAAGGCCUUCGGGUUGUAAAGCACUUUUGUCCGGAAAGAAAUCCUUGGCUCUAAUACAGUCGGGGGAUGACGGUACCGGAAGAAUAAGCACCGGCUAACUACGUGCCAGCAGCCGCGGUAAUACGUAGGGUGCAAGCGUUAAUCGGAAUUACUGGGCGUAAAGCGUGCGCAGGCGGUUUGCUAAGACCGAUGUGAAAUCCCCGGGCUCAACCCGGGAACUGCAUUGGUGACUGGCAGGCUAGAGUAUGGCAGAGGGGGGUAGAAUUCCACGUGUAGCAGUGAAAUGCGUAGAGAUGUGGAGGAAUACCGAUGGCGAAGGCAGCCCCCUGGGCCAAUACUGACGCUCAUGCACGAAAGCGUGGGGAGCAAACAGGAUUAGAUACCCUGGUAGUCCACGCCCUAAACGAUGUUAACUAGUUGUUGGGGAUUCAUUUUCCUUAGUAACGUAGCUAACGCGUGAAGUUGACCGCCUGGGGAGUACGGUCGCAAGAUUAAAACUUAAAGGAAUUGACGGGGUCAUAGCUGUUUCCU
rnacentral:rRNA from 1 species